GGUCAGAUGGCCGAGCGGUCUAAGGCGCUAGACUCAAGCGAUUCAAAGCUUUCCGGUUGAAAGACUGGGCGAGGUUUCUAGUAGAGUAAUCUGCGUGGGUUCGAAUCCCACUCUGAUCA